CGACCAGGAGCCAAGAAAGACAAAGGGAACCCUUUUUCAUCAUCCCAAAUUCAGCAAUUGAAGCUCUAAUCUUGGCUAAUACUCAUGCAUGUCCUUGAUUUCUUAAUCAUCCAAGCAUGCUAAAGCACUAGGAGUUAAGGAAGAAAGUUCAAGUCGUGCUGGGAUACAAGCUAGCAACGACAAAGGUAAAGCUACUUGAUGGAUGGCAUGGUUGGACCGAACACACUUGUGAUGCACGCUUCCGCGAAGUCUCUAGUCAUGGUCUAAACUUUUGUUAAAUGUUUUCUUUCGUUAAAAACGGGCCUUUUGUAUGUAAGUUAACCCGGAAGUAGUUAGAUGUUGAACUUGUAGUCAAGAACUUGGUUAUAUUUUGUGAAAUGUUUGGGGUUUAAAACUUGUUCAUGACUAUAUAGUUGGUUAAUGUGAAAUUAAAUGCAAAAAUUUACUUAUGAA